ensembl:lncRNA
GCAAUUUAGUCGUGGAUCAGGGGGAGGCACAGGCUGAGGCUGGCGGAGGGGAAAGAUCAGGGAAGAAACUUUCAGGACCUGGCACUUGAUGUGAAACUUGAAAACCAAAAAGAAGGGAAACAUGGGGAAGACUAGGAGGCCAGGAAUAAAGGAUUAUGAAAGAUGAAAAAGAAGGAAAAGAUGAGAGAUGAUCCUGGUGAGGAAGUAGGAAAGGACAUUCCAGGAAAGAGGGCAAGCCGGUGAAGGGCACAUAGCAUUGACACCCAUGUACUUGAGAAAUAGCCAGCAGGGGAUAAUGGCUGGAUGUCAGGAGGAGAGAACGGGAGAUGAGCAGAAGUGAUGGACCUUUGGGCCAUGCUAAGCAGUUGAACUUGACAGUUUAGGUGCUGGGGAGCCCUGGAAGGAUGACCAGAUGUUCUUCAAGAGCAGGGAACUAAUUUGUUGGAAUGACAAUUCAACAAGCGGUGCUGCUAAUGUCUGAGGCAGCAAGAGUCCCUCUGCUUAUGAAGGGACCACAUCUUCAAUCACUGAAUAUCGGUUUGAUUUCUCUGUGGAGUUCCAGAGUUUCUGGGUGAUGGUCAAACAAACAAACAAAGCAUCUUUGCUGCUGUCACUGCCCUGUUGGAGACUUGGUCACUGAAUCCCCUCUGUGUGCCUCAAAGCCACCCUGGCAUCUUCUCCCGUGUGCCAUUUGCAACCUCUCUUGUGUAGCUUUCAGAGUUGAGAGGAAAUGAUUUCUGACUCUACAUUUGCCCAUAGAUCGCAGCUCUGAAUGUUAUCAAGAUAUUUGUUCAGACCAUCUUUUCAGUUUGUUGUGUGCUUAGGUUUUCAAUGACUUCUCUGAAGCAUCUUUACAUUUGGUCCUCAUCAUGCCCCUGCAAGAGAUGCAGACCCUCUCACAGAUGCAGAUGGCCAGGCUACAGGAGAUUACAUGACUGAUCCAAGGUCAUGGCUUUAAUUAUAAAAGACCUGGGCCUUUGACCCAGAACUCCUACCUGCUACACUAAUGCGCUUUCUGCUCUGUCACACUUGCUGUGUUACAGAGAUUCCCUCCGAGCCAGUGAUGUCUUCCAAAGUAUAAAUUCAUCUGUAAAGUGUUGUUGUAAAUUGUUUAUUUUAGAAUAAUUUUAGAUUUACAGAGAAUCACAAAGGUAAUAGGGAGCACUCCUGUAUACUCCUUACCCAGUUUUCCCAAAUCGUCAUAACUAUGGUUUCUUUGUUAAAAUUCAGAAAUUAACACUGGCACGUUACUAUUAACUAAAGUCCAGAGUUGAUUUAGAUUUCUUUGGUUUUUAUAUGAAUGUCCUUUUUCUAUUCCAGGAUCCAAUCCAAGGCAUCCCAUUGCAUUUAUACCUUUAAAAUUGCAUCUUUAAAAUUUUUCACCGGAGGUGAUUGUGGUUUAUGGAAACUGAGUACUCUGCAGAAGAGGAUUUAAACCUGAUGAGACUGGAGAGAGGCAUUUCUGUAGAAGGAAAAGGGUCCUUUUUAAGUGGAAAAACCAGCCAGCCUUCAGGAUGUAGGUGCAACCUCUGCGUCAUGACCUCUGCUAGGCUGAGUGGUUUUAACAGGUAGACAAGAGGUGAAUGAGUCAAACCCUGCCAAGGUGAUAAUAGACAGUGUUACGGCUCCGGCUGGCCAUGACCUCCUGAGAUAAAUGGUGCCCAUAACCUUCAAACUUCAUAUAGAUGUAGUCUUCUGGCCCCAUAAGCAAUGCUUUGUUUGCUAGGUCACCUGGCACACUAUGAGCUUCUAAGCUAAACUCCAAAUUUAACAGGAAAGUUACCAAAUACUUCUUAAGUGUCUUGAAGAGUUUGGCCCUCAAAGGUGUGCUUUGGUGGUUGGGAGAAAAAAAAACUUUGAUCUGCAGCAAGAAUAUAAUUUGGGAAAAUGGGCACAACAUCUGUUGCCUAAAUCUCCCCAACCCAUCUUCUUCCUGAGCUAUUGUGUACUGAAGCCCAUUCUAAUCACCACUUGCCACGCUUGUUCUGAUGUGCUGUUUCCAAAAGUUCUCACUUUGGAGAAAAGAGGAUCUGGCCCUGUUUCCCCAGAAUAGCAGAGUUGUCUCCAGCUCCAAUUUUCUGAUCAACCAGUCAGGUGUGUCUUAUAGCAGGACUAGUGGAGUAACUGAAAGAGUUAAGAAGUGGUUUAAAAGAUUGGCAGAAUAUUGCAUUGAUUGUCUUGGAAAAGAACAGUAGGACGAGGGUCAGAGUCAGGCAUGUUCCACCGCCACAGGGACAGAUAUUCUGCUCUAUCAGUGCAUCUCUGACUAAUGGGGGUGAGGCCUGAGCUGGAACAAAAUGAGGAUAACCUUGGAGAACCGUAGUGCUCAAGGAGGAGAAAACUGAGGCCACUGUGCUGGUCUUAUGCUUUUGCGACAAUAGGCAGGCUUCUAAGCAAAAGUGUUUGAGCACUGCCACACACACACACACACACACACACACACACACACACACACCACUGCCUCAUGCAGAAGGAAAGUGUCUUCAGGACACAGAUAUUUCCUGUCUUGCUCAUCAUUGCUGCCAUUGCACCACCUCCAUCACCACCUUCCCUAGUCUAAGUUCUUUUGAUGCAUUAAGGACCAGCAUCUCAGCUCCGUCUUACAUGCAGGCUGGGAGAUGCUUGUAAGAAGAAGUCAUCAUCACCUCCUCUAACACCCCCCAAAUCUCUGCCCAUGGCUCUUAGAUGCACUUCUUACUCUCUAGUUAUAUAAGUGGGUAUCUAAUUCCUCCUCAUUUAGUACAAGUAAUUUGGGUACAGGAUUUAUGUCUAACUCACCUUCGUGUAUCCCCACACUGUUCAAUAAAUAUCUCAACAAGUAGCUCUGUUUUUUGUACCCAGUUCCACUGAUGACAGAAUAACCCUGGCCUUACUCAUCCCCUUACGAGGGAAAUCAUGAAUAAGAAGUCCUGGCCAUAUGUCUUCUUGAAUUCUAACGCCACUGUUGCAAAGAUCUCUUCAUGGAGGUCUUUUCUUUGGCUUAACCAACCACGAUGAACUUUCAGCAACAGGCAAGAAAAGAUAAGCAGGCACCCAAAGAAGAUAGAAUAUUCCAAAGUCACUUUGUCUCGCCUUGGCUGGGAAUUCAGAGCCAAACGCUGUAUUCUAGCCACGCUGCCCCCUCUCUCUGGGAUGUGGGGAAGGAGAGGAAAGGCAGUGUCCCAGAAAGCCAGAGGGGACGAGAGGUGGAUGGCACGCAUGUCAGGGCCAGUGUUCCCCUCGAGCCAGCAUCACUUAUGCAAUUUCUUCUCCAUUUUGUGGUUUUUUAAGGAGAGAGGGAGCUAUAGUCUCUUACUUGUCCUGUAAGAUUUCUCCCUACCCCCUCUUAUCCCAUCUCUCGGCUGGGGAAUCUCCUAUAGAAGAGCUUUUGGAAAGCCCUGACCUGGAUCAGGUGAGGCAACUUGAGACGUUUAACAAAUAUUUAUAGCACCUAUUAUGUGGCUGGAUACUGCUUGCCUCCAGGCCUGCCCACUCACAUUUCAAGAGGUUCUACCAAUAAGAAAUUUCCAGUCCUGUUUCCAGCCAAACUACUAACUGCCCCAGAAGUAUUAGGUUGAAACCUGUCCAUCAUGAGUGAGCCUGCCAUUCCUCCUUCAUUUAGAUGCAGGUCCACCUGGACCAUGUACACUGUGGACUACCUGAGGUGACACCUGUAGUCCCAGUCUCUCUAAUAGAUGCCCCGCCUGAGAUUUUCAUAAAAAAUAAAAAUCUGUCUUUAAAAUCAUGAUAUCAGUGCAUGACCUCUAUAUCUCUGGAGGAGACUCAUCCUGUCCCAUUUCAGGUACCCGACAGCUCUUUAGACAAAGGUCGCCAGAAAAUGGUUACCAUGGUUGCACUGGGAACCUCCAGUUUUUUGGUUAUUCCAGCCAAAAUAUAGAGAGCUGCCAGGUUCUUUUUCCUAGCUGGGACACAUUUGCUGAAGAACACCACCGUCCAAAUGCAGCUAUCCUCUGCUUUUUGAAAGUUCAGUUCAUGCCAUUUAACUUUUAUAAAAGUACCUGUUUUCAUAACCAAAAGAAAUCCAGAGGGGAUUUUCCCUUUGACAGAAAAAGGCAAAAAGUGAAAAUAGCGUUCAGUUGUUGGUUUUGCAGUGAGCUGUUUUAGCGGCAGCAUGAACCCCUGAGCAGGGAGGGCAGCCUCGCCAAGCUCCCUCCCAGGGACUACACUCGGCAUCCUGGCAUCAAGCCGCCAUAGCCUUGAACUGUCAGUGAGCUUCUGUGAUUUACCUCGACUUAUUUUGCCUGCCCAUUAGCAAGACGCAUCCUAAGGCAAUUGCUUCUUUGCUUUCCAUCAUUUGGGCUUUC